GAGGCUGACUAUUUGGCUACUGAAAGGCUUUCUGUCUUCUAUCCUCCCGCUCAUGUAUCCCCACAAUAACUCCCAUAACCUCAGACAACCCGAGCCUGUCUGCUCCCUGGAAGCUGAAAGAACUUCAGUAACUCAGUUGGAGUGCAGGCAGCAGUGUUUGGGAAGGAGUAAAUGAAGCAGUUGGAAGCAAAGAAGCUGCUGCUUUGGGAUCCGCAAAUCAGAGGAUCAGGAAAUGUGAAACAACUUUCCUGACAGCUUCAGGGAGUGACAUCCAGGCAGGAACUCGGCGGCUUGGCAGAGCUGGAGGAGGAUAGCAGCGCUCUUUUUCCAACCUGGAAACAGCCCAUUCAGUCAAUAACUCACCUCCAGUGCCUUUUCCUAAAGCAUUUACAGUCAGGAGAACAAAUUCAGAUACCCCAGAAAAUCAAGAAGUCAUGACAAUUAAAGAGUCCUGUACCAGCACAUCCUGUCUUCACUGCCUGCAAAGCUCACCACUCUCUUCUCCAUCCACAAACUCCCAUACUCCUUUGAAGCAGCAGCUGAGCCGCCACAACCUCG
rnacentral:lncRNA from 1 species